UACAGAGGGUGCGAGCGUUGUCCGGAAUCACUGGGCGUAAAGGGCGCGUAGGCGGUUGGGUAAGCGUGUGGUGAAAGCUCGGGGCUCAACCCCGAGUCGGCCGUGCGAACUGCUCGACUGGAGCAUGUCAGAGGCAGGCGGAAUUCCGGGUGUAGCAGUGAAAUGCGUAGAUAUCGAGAGGAACACCAGUGGCGAAGGCGAGUCCCUGGACAACACCUGACACUGAGGCACGAAAGCUAGGGGAGCAAACGGG
rnacentral:rRNA from 1 species